rnacentral:rRNA from 1 species
CCCUUAGAUGUUCUGGGCCGCACGCGCGCUACACUGAUGCAUUCAACGAGUCUAAAACCUGCUCUGAUAGGGGUGGGUAAUCUUUUGAAUGUGCAUCGUGAUUGGGAUAGAUGAUUGCAAUUUUUCAUCUUCAACGAGGAAUGCCUAGUAAACGCAAGUCAUCAGCUUGCAUUGAUUACGUCCCUGCCCUUUGUACACACCUCCCGUCGCUCCUACCGAUUGAAUGAUCCGAUGAAUAUCAUGGAUUGAGGAUGCAAGUAGGUUAGCCUAUCUUCAUCUUCGAGAAGUGAAGUAAAUCUUAUCAUUUAGAGGAAGGAGAAGUCGUAACA